rnacentral:rRNA from 1 species
CACGAAGUUAGCCGGGGCUUCUUCUCCGACUACCGUCAUUAUCUUCAUCGGUGAAAGAACUUUACAACCCUAAGGCCUUCAUCAUUCACGCGGCAUGGCUGGAUCAGGCUUGCGCCCAUUGUCCAAUAUUCCCCACUGCUGCCUCCCGUAGGAGUUUGGGCCGUGUCUCAGUCCCAAUGUGGCUGAUCAUCCUCUCAGACCAGCUAUGGAUCGUCGCCUUGGUAGGCCUUUACCCCACCAACUAGCUAAUCCAACGCGGGCUCAUCCAUCCCCGAUAAAUCUUUCCCCCGAAGGGCGUAUACGGUAUUAGCUCCAGUUUCCCGGAGUUGUUCCGUAGGGAUGGGUAGAUUCCCACGUGUUACUCACCCGUCUGCCGCUCCCCUUGCGGGCGCUCGACUUGCAUGUGUUAAGCCUGCCGCCAGCGUUCGUUCUGAGCCAGGAUCAAACUCU